rnacentral:rRNA from 1 species
GACGAGCCUCACAAACGUUAUUCGGAAUUACUGGGCUUAAAGGGUGCGUAGGCGGUGCGGAAAGUUGGGUGUGAAAUCCCUCGGCUCAACCGAGGAACUGCGCUCAAAACUGCCGUACUCGAGGAAGAUAGAGGUGAGCGGAACUUACGGUGGAGCGGUGAAAUGCGUUGAUAUCGUAAGGAACACCCGUGGCGAAAGCGGCUCACUGGGUCUUAUCUGACGCUGAUGCACGAAAGCUAGGGGAGCAAACGGG